UACGAAGGGGGCUAGCGUUGCUCGGAAUCACUGGGCGUAAAGGGUGCGUAGGCGGGUCUUUAAGUCAGGGGUGAAAUCCUGGAGCUCAACUCCAGAACUGCCUUUGAUACUGAAGAUCUUGAGUUCGGGAGAGGUGAGUGGAACUGCGAGUGUAGAGGUGAAAUUCGUAGAUAUCUGGAGGAACACCGGUGGCGAAGGCGGCAUCCUGGACCGACACUGACGCUGAGGAGCGAAAGCCAGGGGAGCAAACGGG
rnacentral:rRNA from 1 species